rnacentral:rRNA from 1 species
GAUGAACGCUGGCGGCGUGCCUAAUACAUGCAAGUCGAGCGAAAGGACCAGAAGCUUGCGUCUUUGAUGUUAGCGGCGGACGUGUGUGUCACACGUGUAUAACCCACCUAUAUUACUGGGAUAAUUUCGGGAAUCCGGCUAUUACACCGGAUAAUCUCUUGAACCGCAUGGUUCAAAAGUAAAAUACGGCGGUGCUGGCUCGACUAGAUGGUUCUCGGCUUGUUUGACUAGUUGGGAAGGUACCGGCUUACCAAGGCGAGGAUGCGUAGCCGACCUGAGAGGGUGGUCGGCCACACGGGAGGUGAGACAGGGUCCAGACUCCUACGGGAGGCAGCAGUAGGGAAUGUUCCGCAGUGGGCGAAAGCCUGACGGAACAAGGGCGCGUGAGUGAUGAAGGUCUUCGGAUCGUGAAACUCUGUUAUUAGGGAAAAACAGAUGUGUAAGUUACUGUACAGAGCUUGACGGUACCGGAUAAGAAAGCCACGGCUAACUACGUG